rnacentral:rRNA from 1 species
AUUGAACGCUGGCGGCAGGCCUAACACAUGCAAGUCGAGCGGAAACAGGGGGAGCUUGCUCCCCGCUGUCGAGCGGCGGACGGGUGAGUAAUGCAUAGGAAUUUGCCCAGUAGUGGGGGAUAGCCCGGGGAAACCCGGAUUAAUACCGCAUACGCCCUACGGGGGAAAGCAGGGGAUCUUCGGACCUUGCGCUAUUGGAUGAGCCUAUGUCGGAUUAGCUGGUUGGUGGGGUAAAGGCCUACCAAGGCGACGAUCCGUAGCUGGUCUGAGAGGAUGAUCAGCCACAUCGGGACUGAGACACGGCCCGAACUCCUACGGGAGGCAGCAGUGGGGAAUAUUGGACAAUGGGGGCAACCCUGAUCCAGCCAUGCCGCGUGUGUGAAGAAGGCUUUCGGGUUGUAAAGCACUUUCAGUGAGGAGGAAAACCUUAUGGCGAAUACCCAUGAGGCUUGACGUUACUCACAGAAGAAGCACCGCUAACU